rnacentral:rRNA from 1 species
GAGGAUGCGAGCGUUAUCCGGAUUUAUUGGGUUUAAAGGGUGCGCAGGCGGAGGCGCAAGUCAGCGGUAAAAUCGCGGGGCCCAACCCCGCCCCGCCGUUGAAACUGUGUCCCUUGAGUGCGCGAAGGGCAGGCGGAAUGCGUGGUGUAGCGGUGAAAUGCAUAGAUAUCACGCAGAACUCCGAUCGCGAAGGCAGCCUGCCGGCGCGCAACUGACGCUCAUGCACGAAAGCGUGGGUAUCGAA